rnacentral:tRNA from 1 species
AGGGACUUAGGAUAACCCAGACCAAGGGCCUUCAAAGCCCUAAGCAGGGGUGAAAACCCCCUAGUCCCUG